rnacentral:lncRNA from 1 species
GGAAGUCCUGAGAUACAAACUCAUCGGAGAUAAAGGAGACACAUGAAGUUUAACAAUUUGCACAAGAAAGAUGUAGCUCAUAAGAGAUGAUUCAUGGAGGGUGCCACAAACACGAUGCACAACCGCUAAGAAAGGAAAGCUUCCACAAGGUGAUACUGUACCAUCACUCUUCAAGUAAGGUAACAUCUUAAGGUACUUGACUAACACUUUUAUAAGCUUCUCCUUGGUUCUAGCAUUCACAUAAAAUAAAGAGACAAACAUGUACGAUUUGUAGCUCCAAAUUAAUCAACACAAUUAAUUCAACAUGUUUAGUCCUUUAAUCUUUGUUCUUAGUACUACCUUCGUGAUCCCACACUCCUAAUCAUAUAAGCUAAAGUAUUGCACAUUCAAUCUUUGGAAGAUAUAAACAAAAUAUAAAUAUAGAUAGAUUAUCUUUCCAUUAGGUCGAGCCAUCUGAUCUAACAAAUGUUUUAAAUGCUACACUUAUGAUCCAUCAACUUUGUCUUGCUCACUAUGCUUAAGGUUAGAGAAGAACAAAUACACUUUUGGUUCUGUUGGUGUUUUUCACCAACAGGGCCCAUGCACUUGAUCUCUGCCUUGUCUCUAUGAACAGGUACACUUCAAGCAAAACAUGGAGGAGUUUUACAACUCCCAGACUCCACCAGGUGAAGGACCUGGAUCUAUGAGCACAAACACACUGAGCAGGAUAUUGCCAACACCGCACUUCAAACUGCUGGGCAAACGAAGAACAUGGGUGACUCCGUAUCCAGAGGUGCAGACGUCAAGGUCCACACCUAAUCAAAUGAUGCACCUAAAGGAUGAAGACGGUGAGAAGUCUUGUACAGAAGAUUUAAAACAAUUGGAUCCUUGUCGGAGGAGGUCAACAUCGUCGACUCAAGUCGCCUUUCCUGAUCAAGAAGGACGACCCUGGUGUUCCAAGCAUCGAGUGCACAAUCAAUGGAUACUCUUUUUAGAAGACACUCUACGACACUGGAUCUGACGACAACAUAAUGGCCGCAGUCACUUAUCAGCUCCUGCAUGAAAUCAUGCCCCUACAACCAACAUACAUUCAGCUCCAGACGAUUUUCAGGUCAUUGACAUGGGAGAAGACGAGUAUGAUCCACCCACCAUCCUUGGAAGACCAAUCCUCAACACUAUCAAAGCCAUCAUCUAUAUUGGAAUCGGAGAAGUCCACAUAUACUUCUCCUCUAAGAAGGUAUGCCGUUAUUUUACUGACCUUAACUAUAUAGUUGAAGACUCUAAGCAGGUCAGGACAAGAAGAAGACAACGCAACCGCAACCAGAGGAGGCAAAACAUCAAGAACGGAUGGGUAGACCACGAAGGAGAAGUGAUAAGGACUGAAGACAUACAGCUUGAACAGAGCUGUCCUGAGGAGACCGUUAGCGCCGAGUCAGGUGUGGAGAGAGAAGAUAGUUAUACACGAAGAGGAGGCGCCGCCGGAAUCACCGACUAUGCCACCUAGCGAAUCCCAGGACGACUGAGAAAACGGAGAGUCUCGUUCGGAGGACUUAAAAACACCGAACGCCUUGCCAAGAGGUAAACUUGGUCCUUUCAAUUAUUCAAUUGUAGUUUGCUUAGUUAAUCAGGUUUAUGCUAUCUUGAAAAGAAAAUAAAAUGUUAAAAAAAAUAAAAAUAAAAAAAUAAAAUAAUAGUAAGCCCCAUGUGAGUAUGCUCAUGGCAUAAAACCCAUAAGUACAUUCACUGUGGUGGCAUAAAAAUAAAAUAAAUAAGUUUUCAUCUUACAAUAAAAAUAUAAAAAUAAUAAGUGCAUGAUCCUGCUAAAUAAGUAAUAGUUAUUGAGGAGGCUCAACAUGAUAAAGGCUAGAUAUUUAUGCUAACACUUAACCAAUUCCACAAAGCUUUGUUGUCUAUUUGAGCUCCACAGAAUUCAUGGAUCAAAGAAGACUAGCAGACGGAGGGCAUCCUAAUCGAUGUCAGGGUGCUGCUGACAUUCAAAUACACCUCUGUCAAUUGCUAGCUACAUUAGAAGAAAUUACGUCAAAAUCCAGCUUUGGGGAGAGCACCCCCAUUUAUCUAGCUAAGUGUUUCUACUCGCAUUUAUACUUUACUCAAAUAAUAAAAGAUGCAUAAUCAUGAAAACCCAAAUAAAGAUUUUGUGCUUUUAUAUAUAAAUCUUUGCUUAGUUUGCUAAAUAAAUAAAUAAAUAAAGUUUGCUAUGAACCCUCAUGAUAAACUCUCACAUGGAAAUGAUGAAUAGUUGCUCUGCCAUGACUAGUUCAUAAAAUUGAAAUCUCUCUAAAGUUUAGGCAUGACUGUUAUGAAGUAAGAUUUGCUCUAAACCUGAACUUGUGGGAAGAGUACUUGAUCUAAAGUCUAAGUUGUUAACGGAUAUGAUAUGGGAAGGUUAAGUUGCUGUUUAUCUGUUCCUAGAGAUGCUAGAAUUCUGGAGAAUUUUAUCUUUGAAAAAUCCUUAAAAUAUCACAUGAUGAGUUCCUGUAUGAUGAGAGUUUAAAUUCCUACCACAGCCAUAUAUACAUGCUUGUUAGACUUUGAGCCACACAUUUACUUUUUACUGCUUAUGAGCAUUGAGUGUGGUCAAGCUGUGUAGACCCUUAGGAGCUUGUCAUGUGGUUAAAUCAAGAUUCACUUGCACGUUCACUCAUACAUGCUACUUCUACUCCGGAAGUACCAUCCACAUAUAUCCACUCAUUUCCAUCUCCACAUUCACCCAAAAGUAUUCUACUCCUAAUCCAGGAGAGAAUAGCCAAAAAUAUUUUCCUAUCUCUGUCUUUCCCUGUUAAAUAAAUGCUCGAGUUAUCUUGGUUACUACCACUUGCUAUAUUAUUUCAGGAGAUGAGUGCUCUCUAAAAAAAAGAGGAAAAAUACGAGGAAAUAAAAAGGGGCAAGUGCCCGGAACCUCGAAGGAAAAAAAAGUGAGACGAGAGGUAAAAAUGGACAAGUGUCCGACAGUAGAAUUAGGGGUACAAGAUACCCACCUGAGAGAAAAAAGAAAAAGAAAAUAUAGAGCAUCUCAUUCUCCUCAAAAAGCUUCAAAGUGCAAGAAAGGUAUGUAUCCUCUCAAAAGAGCAAAAGUAGAAUUAGACUUUCCCCAUCAUUAUCACCAUCAUCACCAUACACCAUUCAUUCGCCACACAUGCACAUCUUGAUUUGACUUAUUGACUUAUUUCUCUGGAUCCAUGGUUUGACUAUGCAAUAAAUGUCUUGUAAGUAUGUAUUAACUGUCUCCCACCUAUGAACUCCAGAUAUCAGAACCUUAUUAGAGUAGGGUGAGAGAGAAGGCAAUAUCACUAUGCCUCAUACCAAAAAUACCACAUACUUUGAGAGAAGGCAUAUAUCAUUACUGCCUCCAGAAAUACCACAAAAGAGAGAUCUGAGAGAGUCAUAUAAGGAAUCUCUGAGUUUUAUUUGAAAAUCUGCAAAAACCCCAGAGCUAUAGCUGAUCAAGAAUAAGAGACAUGGCGCUUGACUUGACCGUUCUAUCUUUUAACUGCUCAAGACACAAGUAACGGUUACAAUCCCCAUGGUGAAAGGUAAAAUAAGUAAGUUUUAAGUCUUAACAGUUUAUUCUAACUCAGAGAUGAGAUCUUGCUUGAAUGCGUGUGUACUUUUAAGAAAUGAAACCACUGCAGAAACUAUUGAGUUCAUCCUUGCUCAGGGACGAGCAGAAACUAUUGAGUUCAUCCCCAGCAUGGCACUAGAGUGUACUAUGGUAUUUAUACGCACACAGAUAAUCGGCAAGCGCACGGAUACCGUUGAAGCUUUUACCCGGUUAAAGGUUUUAUCGUAUCCACAGGGAAACGGGAGAACCAACUAUGCUCUAACUUAACCAAGAUAGAUAGAUAAGUGUAAAUAGGAAAGAUGGUAGAAUUGAAUAAGAACAAUAUUAAAGGUAAGAUAACAAUGAGUGAUAAUAUGGGAAUAGAGAGUCGAGCAAUUCUAGUAUAUGGGCGAUGGUAGCAGAAUAGAGAGGAUAACUAUGGUUUCUCUACUUCAAAAGGGUAUGUCUAUGUCUGGGACGAUCCACGUGAUAAGAGUACACCACAAAGGAUGCUUAUCCUUAGGCCGAUAAACCCUACCCGUCCUGCUAACGAGAGGUGGACUACAGAGGACCAACGUAACUGUCACCUACGCGGCCUACCACACGAUCCAGCUAGACAGGGGAUAUCCACAAGUAAUCUAGGUCUAAGCACCAUGCUUACACCUAUACUACAACUCUAACCUAUAGGGUCCUAUAGAUUAGAAGUACUCAAAAGAGUUGUGAACCAGAACAUACAUGAUUAGUAAUUACAUAAUGAAUUAGAAGUAGAUUACCAGAGUCAUCCCAUGAGCAAGCUUGAUUAGAGUUUGAUCAUGACGAAGUACAACCGGAGGAAGAACCGACAGGCCGGCCUCUCCUCUAAUCCUCCUUCGCUCUCCAUCUUGCUAUUAUCUAGAUCUACUCUAGUUUAGAGAAGAGAGGAGAGCUCUCAUCUCUAAACCCUAGCUUUUGCUCUAUCUAUGAAUAAUGAAUAAUGAUCAAGGGGUGCCUCCUCCAGGGGCCAGGGGGUCUGGUUAUAUAGUCCCCUCAAGUGAACCUGGGCCGUCGGAUCAAACUGACAUUGAUUGAACGGUUAUUCUUGAUCCUUUAUGUCGGUGGAGCAUAAUCCGCGAGAUUGAGCGUGAUUGGUUGAAACUCCAGGGCGGGCGCCCAAGGGGGUGUUGACGGUCCUUAAGUAUCAAAUUUAAUUAUCAAAUAAACAAAGAAAAGGAUCCAAAUGAAAUCAACAUCUAGACUUAGGGUUUUAUCUGACAGAAUUCCACGAGUUUUGGUGUUUGUCUAUUUUUGCAGGGGGUUAUCAGGAAAAAAGGAAGAAAGGCCCAUAUGUCAGGAUUACAUAGAGAUAUCAACGCACCGCACAAUUUUCUACCAUCUAGAAGACUCCAGAAGCCACGGGAAGGAAGCGGAGGCCGAACGGGGCCAGGCCCAGGGCGCCCGCCCUGGUGACCUGGGCCCCCGCCCCCUGUUGGAUGCCAAUCAGGACUCUCUUCGCACGGGAUGUUCCACCGACCUAUUGGAUCAAGGAAAACAUAGUACCACCUCGCCUACUGACCCAAAAAUGCAUAGAGGAGGAGGACUAUAUAAGGAGACCCCCCUAGCCCCUGGAGGAGACAAGAAGUUAUCAUAGAGAUUGAGGGGUGCCCUCGAAGGAAAACCUCUUCUCUAAAUAAUAUUUCUUUUUAGGCUUAGCAACCAAUGUAAAGUAGAAAUAGAUCUUCUAGUUUCUACUAGAUUGAGAGAGAUAGAGUGGAGGUGUGGAUCGGAGGAAGGCCGGCCUGUCGGUGUCUACUCCGAGUUGUACCUGCGGGAUCAAGUCUCCUAAUCCGAGGCUUGCUUCUAAGAUUCUUCAGUAAUUCGACUGCUAAUUCUAGUAAGUUCUUGUUUUAUUGUUCUUUGGUUUAUGAGUUUACUUUAGUCCUCUUCUGGUUGAGUAUUGGAGUAAUCACUUGCUAGCGUAAACGUGGUGUUUCGGCUAGGGUACUCAUAGAUAUCGCCUGACUAGCUGGACCGUGGUAGUAGCGAGGAAUGUGACAUUUCCGAGUUACCUUUGUAUCCCAUAUCUUGUUAGCAGGACGGGUAGGGUUUAUAGGUGCGGGUCGAACAUCCUUUGUGUUGUCUAGAUUCUGUGAGCCUCCCCAAUAGAAUAGUAGAUCAUCCUUACCAAGGUUAGAACGAGACUACGGUUGCAGUCUUCUCUAUACAUCACUCACAUCGAGAGACAUUCUUUGUAGCCUAAAGGGAUAGUAGCAAUAGAUUUCGUUAGUCAGAUGCACCCUUUCUCCCAAUGGUAAAAAUAUAAAUACGAUAACUCUGGAUAACCUCUCGGGUGAAAUGCUCACCGAUAUCCGUACGCUUGCGGAUCAUUUCCUUAUUACGUUACCAAAUAUCAACAAGCAUUUCUGGCGCCGUUGCCGGGGAGAAAGACGGUUUGCUGAGAUAACUUUGAGUCUUGCUAUUAUCUUGUAUUAUACUUUUAUAUUUUUAUUCUUUUAUCUUUUUAUCUUUAUGGAUAAAUCAAAUUCCAUACCUAUUAUUAAAUUCUUUGCACCUUCGGAGACCAGCCAUAGACCAUGGGAGUCAACACGUUCUGCCCCUAAUUAUGAUCUGUGUCCGGAGUUGAUUGCAAUAGGUCAAAACCAACCCUUUUCUAUAGCCGAGGUCCUAUCUUUUAAUCAAGAAGAUAAUGCACUUUUAGCUACACCUAGGGAAUCUUUUAAUCUUUCUAUAAAUUCUGGUUUAGACCUAGCCCUACAAGACCAUGUUUUUCCUGAAUAUUUUCACAUUGGCCUUAAUCAUAUAAGCUUUGGUAGAGUCCUUCUUUCUUUAUCUAUUAGUAAAGGAAGGUAUGUCUUCAUUCGUGGACAUCCUUCUUGUACUAGUCUUUAUAGAAAAAUCUUAGAGAUAGAGAAGGAAUCAUCUCCCAGACAAGGAAAGGAAGGUUCAAUAGCCAACUUCCAAACACUUCAACCCCAUGAUUCGGCUAUCAAACCCAUCCUUGAGCUUAAUAAUUUCUACUAUGCUCUUUCUCUUGAACCUCCCGAUAAUCCUAUGAAUCUUUCUAGACAUCCCAUGCAUAAGAAGGAGGAUCGAGAAGAGCAACAUCAAUGGCUAGAGGGCAUUAAAAAUCAAUGUGCUAUCACCAUUGAAUGGAUAGAUAAAACAAACUUGAGAGACAAUCCUAGAGGAAUUUUAAGCAUUCAUGAAGAAUCAUCCUUGGAGUUUGAGAAUGAGAGAAACAAUAGUGUGCAUGGAAGUUAUUUCAUAAAUAUCUUACCUUGCUCAUAUAAAACAUCUCCCCAAUCAAUUGGUCUCUCCAUCCUUACCACAUUUGAGAUCUCCAACCCCCUCUUCCUUUCUAUUUAUAAAAACUUUAAAAGGGCGGUUGUCGAUGCAUAUGUCUAUAAUAAAUAUUGCAGAUCUCGUUGAGUUGAUCUUGAUAUAGGUAGGUGUUGGAGGGGAAACCACUUCACCAACAUAAUUUGAUGGUUUCCCAAGGAUAAGCUUAGCGUCCUUAAAGAAGCACUUAUCAGAUCGUAACAUGAACUUCUAAUUAUUUGCAAUAUUUCCUUGUGUAUUGAGCAUAUUGAGAUAAUUGUAGAAAUAUUCCUUCGGGUAUUCUUGCCACUAACCUUUCCAGGAUUGGAGCAAGAAGAUCGGAUGAAUGACAAGCACAAGGUAUGUCCAACCAACCAUCAUACAACAUUGAAUAAAAUUCAUCCAAACUUGAAUUUUAGCUUGGGGGAAAUACUUUACAUAAAAACAUCAUUUGCCAUGUUGCUAUGUUGGUUGUCCUUACCUUUGAGACAUGCUCAAAUUGUUAAAUACUAAUCACACUACUUCAUCUCCACUUAAGUAGAUCUUUAUAAGCCAUCAUGCUACCUUUGUUUAUCCUAGUAAGUGUGAGUUUGGAAGUACUGUACAUACUUCUAUUGGCUUUUAAAUUAAGCGUGGUGCUUAGGUUAAAUAGCCUCCCUUAAUCUGAUUAGACAUGGAGUCUAGUUUGGUUACUGAACUAAAAACUGCUUGAGUAGGCAUUGGUAUAUUUUGUCGGACUAACCCCUGCAUGAAAACAUGCAAUAUUAACCUGGGAAGUCCUGAGAUACAAACUCAUCGGAGAUAAAGGAGACACAUGAAGUUUAACAAUUUGCACAAGAAAGAUGUAGCUCAUAAGAGAUGAUUCAUGGAGGGUGCCACAAACACGAUGCACAACCGCUAAGAAAGGAAAGCUUCCACAAGGUGAUACUGUACCAUCACUCUUCAAGUAAGGUAACAUCUUAAGGUACUUGACUAACACUUUUAUAAGCUUCUCCUUGGUUCUAGCAUUCACAUAAAAUAAAGAGACAAACAUGUACGAUUUGUAGCUCCAAAUUAAUCAACACAAUUAAUUCAACAUGUUUAGUCCUUUAAUCUUUGUUCUUAGUACUACCUUCGUGAUCCCACACUCCUAAUCAUAUAAGCUAAAGUAUUGCACAUUCAAUCUUUGGAAGAUAUAAACAAAAUAUAAAUAUAGAUAGAUUAUCUUUCCAUUAGGUCGAGCCAUCUGAUCUAACAAAUGUUUUAAAUGCUACACUUAUGAUCCAUCAACUUUGUCUUGCUCACUAUGCUUAAGGUUAGAGAAGAACAAAUACACUUUUGGUUCUGUUGGUGUUUUUCACCAACAGGGCCCAUGCACUUGAUCUCUGCCUUGUCUCUAUGAACAGGUACACUUCAAGCAAAACAUGGAGGAGUUUUACAACUCCCAGACUCCACCAGGUGAAGGACCUGGAUCUAUGAGCACAAACACACUGAGCAGGAUAUUGCCAACACCGCACUUCAAACUGCUGGGCAAACGAAGAACAUGGGUGACUCCGUAUCCAGAGGUGCAGACGUCAAGGUCCACACCUAAUCAAAUGAUGCACCUAAAGGAUGAAGACGGUGAGAAGUCUUGUACAGAAGAUUUAAAACAAUUGGAUCCUUGUCGGAGGAGGUCAACAUCGUCGACUCAAGUCGCCUUUCUUGAUCAAGAAGUUCGACCCUGGUGUUCCAAGCAUCGAGUGCACAAUCAAUGGAUACUCUUUUUAGAAGACACUCUACGACACUGGAUCUGACGACAACAUAAUGGCCGCAGUCACUUAUCAGCUCCUGCAUGAAAUCAUGCCCCUACAACCAACAUACAUUCAGCUCCAGACGAUUUUCAGGUCAUUGACAUGGGAGAAGACGAGUAUGAUCCACCCACCAUCCUUGGAAGACCAAUCCUCAACACUAUCAAAGCCAUCAUCUAUAUUGGAAUCGGAGAAGUCCACAUACAUUUCUCCUCUAAGAAGGUAUGCCGUUAUUUUACUGACCUUAACUAUAUAGUUGAAGACUCUAAACAGGUCAGGACAAGAAGAAGACAACGCAACCGCAACCAGAGGAGGCAAAACAUCAAGAACGGAUGGGUAGACCACGAAGGAGAAGUGAUAAGGACUGAAGACAUACAGCUUGAACAGAGCUGUCCUGAGGAGACCGUUAGCGCCGAGUCAGGUGUGGAGAGAGAAGAUAGUUAUACACGAAGAGGAGGCGUCGCCGGAAUCACCGACUAUGCCACCUAGCGAAUCCCAGGACGACUGAGAAAACGGAGAGUCCCGUUCGGAGGACUUAAAAACACCGAACGCCUUGCCAAGAGGUAAACUUGGUCCUUUCAAUUAUUCAAUUGUAGUUUGCUUAGUUAAUCAGGUCUAUGCUAUCUUGAAAAGAAAAUAAAAAUGUUAAAAAAAAUAAAAAUAAAAAAAUAAAAUAAUAGUAAGCCCCAUGUGAGUAUGCUCAUGGCAUAAAACCCAUAAGUACAUUCACUGUGGUGGCAUAAAAAUAAAAUAAAUAAGUUUUCAUCUUACAAUAAAAAUAUAAAAAUAAUAAGUGCAUGAUCCUGCUAAAUAAGUAAUAGUUAUUGAGGAGGCUCAACAUGAUAAAGGCUAGAUAUUUAUGCUAACACUUAACCAAUUCCACAAAGCUUUGUUGUCUAUUUGAGCUCCACAGAAUUCAUGGAUCAAAGAAGACUAGCAGACGGAGGGCAUCCUAAUCGAUGUCAGGGUGCUGCUGACAUUCAAAUACACCUCUGUCAAUUGCUAGCUACAUUAGAAGAAAUUACGUCAAAAUCCAGCUUUGGGGAGAGCACCCCCAUUUAUCUAGCUAAGUGUUUCUACUCGCAUUUAUACUUUACUCAAAUAAUAAAAGAUGCAUAAUCAUGAAAACCCAAAUAAAGAUUUUGUGCUUUUAUAUAUAAAUCUUUGCUUAGUUUGCUAAAUAAAUAAAUAAAUAAAGUUUGCUAUGAACCCUCAUGAUAAACUCUCACAUGGAAAUGAUGAAUAGUUGCUCUGCCAUGACUAGUUCAUAAAAUUGAAAUCUCUCUAAAGUUUAGGCAUGACUGUUAUGAAGUAAGAUUUGCUCUAAACCUGAACUUGUGGGAAGAGUACUUGAUCUAAAGUCUAAGUUGUUAACGGAUAUGAUAUGGGAAGGUUAAGUUGCUGUUUAUCUGUUCCUAGAGAUGCUAGAAUUCUGGAGAAUUUUAUCUUUGAAAAAUCCUUAAAAUAUCACAUGAUGAGUUCCUGUAUGAUGAGAGUUUAAAUUCCUACCACAGCCAUAUAUACAUGCUUGUUAGACUUUGAGCCACACAUUUACUUUUUAAUGCUUAUGAGCAUUGAGUGUGGUCAAGCUGUGUAGACCCUUAGGAGCUUGUCAUGUGGUUAAAUCAAGAUUCACUUGCACGUUCACUCAUACAUGCUACUUCUACUCCGGAAGUACCAUCCACAUAUAUCCACUCAUUUCCAUCUCCACAUUCACCCAAAAGUAUUCUACUCCUAAUCCAGGAGAGAAUAGCCAAAAAUAUUUUCCUAUCCCUGUCUUUCCCUGUUAAAUAAAUGCUCGAGUUAUCUUGGUUACUACCACUUGCUAUAUUAUUUCAGGAGAUGAGUGCUCUCUAAAAAAAAGAGGAAAAAUACGAGGAAAUAAAAAGGGGCAAGUGCCCGGAACCUCGAAGGAAAAAAAAGUGAGACGAGAGGUAAAAAUGGACAAGUGUCCGACAGUAGAAUUAGGGGUACAAGAUACCCACCUGAGAGAAAAAAGAAAAAGAAAAUAUAGAGCAUCUCAUUCUCCUCAAAAAGCUUCAAAGUGCAAGAAAGGUAUGUAUCCUCUCAAAAGAGCAAAAGUAGAAUUAGACUUUCACCAUCAUUAUCACCAUCAUCACCAUACACCAUUCAUUCGCCACACAUGCACAUCUUGAUUUGACUUAUUGACUUAUUUCUCUGGAUCCAUGGUUUGACUAUGCAAUAAAUGUCUUGUAAGUAUGUAUUAACUGUCUCCCACCUAUGAGCUCCAGAUAUCAGAACCUUAUUAGAGUAGGGUGAGAGAGAAGGCAAUAUCACUAUGCCUCAUACCAAAAAUACCACAUACUUUGAGAGAAGGCAUAUAUCAUUACUGCCUCCAGAAAUACCACAAAAGAGAGAUCUGAGAGAGUCAUAUAAGGAAUCUCUGAGUUUUAUUUGAAAAUCUGCAAAAACCCCAGAGCUAUAGCUGAUCAAGAAUAAGAGACAUGGCGCUUGACUUGACCGUUCUAUCUUUUAACUGCUCAAGACACAAGUAACGGUUACAAUCCCCAUGGUGAAAGGUAAAAUAAGUAAGUUUUAAGUCUUAACAGUUUAUUCUAACUCAGAGAUGAGAUCUUGCUUGAAUGCGUGUGUACUUUUAAGAAAUGAAACCACUGCAGAAACUAUUGAGUUCAUCCUUGCUCAGGGACGAGCAAGAGGUAAGCUUGGGGGAGUUUGUUGACGGUCCUUAAGUAUCAAAUUUAAUUAUCAAAUAAACAAAGAAAAGGAUCCAAAUGAAAUCAACAUCUAGACUUAGGGUUUUAUCUGACAGAAUUCCACGAGUUUUGGUGUUUGUCUAUUUCUGCAGGGGGUUAUCAGGAAAUAAGGAAGAAAGUCCCACAUGUCAGGAUUACAUAGAGAUAUCAACGCAUCGCGCAAUUUUCUACCAUCUAGAAGACUCCAGAAGCCACGGGAAGGAAGUGGAGGCCGAACGGGGCCAGGCCCAGGGCGCCCGCCCUGGUGACCUGGGCGCCCGCCCCCUGAUGGAUGCCAAUUAGGACUCUCUUCGCACGGGAUGUUCCACCGACCUAUUGGAUCAAGGAAAACAUAGUACCACCUCGCCUACCGACCCAAAAACGCAUAGAGGAGGAGGACUACAUAAGGAGACCCCCUGGCCCCUGGAGGAGACAAGAAGUUAUCAUAGAGAUUGAGGGGUGCCCUCGAAGGAAAACCUCUUCUCUAAAUAAUAUUUCUUUUUAGGCUUAGCAACCAAUGUAAAGUAGAAAUAGAUCUUCUAGUUUCUACUUGAUUGAGAGAGAUUGAGUGGAGGUGUGUAUCGGAGGAAGGCCGGCCUG